rnacentral:misc_RNA from 1 species
UUCUUGCAUAAUAAGAAAAGAGAAUGAUGAAACAUAACGGGGUUUGAAUCACCAUCAUUUGUGCUCUGGUGGUGUAAAGACUGAAUUAACAUCAAGUCUGAUAAGAUGAAUGAAAGCGGUAUUGAGGGGCGUGAAACAGCGUCACUAGAACUCAAUCAGGAAGAAAUGUCUGAAGUAAAAGUUUUAGAUUAUCGUGCAAUGAUAGUUGAUACUAUUGCUGGAGCCAAUGCUGGGACAGCCUGUGUCUUUGCUGGUCAACCUUUUGAUACAGUAAAGGUUAAGAUGCAAGUGUUUCCUAAUCUUUAUAAAAAUGCGUUUGAAUGCUUUAAACGAACAUUAAAGGAAGAAAGGUUUCGUGGUCUAUAUGCAGGGACUGGACCAGCACUUGUCACUCAGAUAGCUGAGAAUUCCAUCCUUUUUCUUUGUUAUGGUCGAUGUCAAACAAUUAUUCAAAGUAUUUUUCAAGUUCCACAUGUUGAUGACCUUAGUGUAUUUCAAAAUGCAUGUGCCGGUAGUGUUGCUGCUUUUAUUACAUCAUUUGCAUUGUGUCCAACUGAAUUGAUCAAAUGUAAAUUACAAGCUCAACAUCAAAUGAGGCAGAGGGGUGGUGAUAAUGGCAAGAAACCUCUAGGUGGUCUUGCACUAACAGCCCAAAUCAUUAGAAAUGAAGGACCCCUGGGCUUAUAUCGUGGUUUUGUGAGUACGUGUACGCGAGAAGUGGGCGGAUAUUUCUUCUUUUUUGGUGGUUAUCAAUUAAGCAAACGUCUUCUAACACCGGAGGGAAAAACAGUUGAUGACUUAGGUCCUCUAGAAGUUGCUAUAUCAGGAGGAAUCGCAGGAGCAUGUUUCUGGGCGUCUGUUUUUCCUACAGACGUCGUAAAAUCUAGAGUUCAGACUGGUAGCAAUGACAGUGGUUAUCCAAAAGGAUUUUUGAGUCUAACCUACUCUAUUUUUAAAAAGGAAGGUAUUCGAGCAUUAUAUAAAGGUCUUGGCCCGGCUAUUGUACGAUGUUUCCCAGCGAAUGCAGCUUUAUUCUUAGCAUAUGAAGGAACAGAACGGUUACUAAAGCCAAACAAAUCUGCGUGAAGAUUAUUAAUUAUCAAGCCAUUCGCCAGAAGAUAGUUGUGCUUGAGUCAUCCUUCAAGGAUCAAAAAGUUGCACAUAACAGACUGGAAGAAAUCGGACAGUAAACAUUUUAAUAAUGAAGAAAAUUCACGUACAGACGACUUUCUUUCUUAUUCUUAUCCUCGUCACCGUUGCCUCGCCAGCAAGUACGAGCUGUCAACAAAAAAAGUUACGCUGUCAAACGGAUUCGUUAGCUUGCCUCAAGGUCUGCACACAGUUAGCACAAUGCGAGGCAUGCCAGAAAACCUAUAAGCAAUGUUCAACAAUGUGCAAGACCACGAAAAAGCAUUCGAAGAAACAGAAUAUAAAAAAGAUCAAGCGUAAAAUAAAAAAGUUAUUGAAACUGUUGUGACUUGUUCAUUGACUUCACUAGUGAAAAUAGUGCUGAAAAUAUUAUAUGGUAGUAGAAAAUCACAUGCAACAGCAGGCAAGAGUAUAUUUAUUUUAGUUAAUUUAAUAUAUUUGAAAAACCUUUUGUAAAUAUAUUUCAAAAUUUUGUAAUGUAUAUUUUCUUG